rnacentral:rRNA from 1 species
CCUACGGGUGGCAGCAGUGAGGAAUAUUGGUCAAUGGGCGAGAGCCUGAACCAGCCAAGUCGCGUGAAGGAUGAAGGUUCUAUGGUUUGUAAACUUCUUUUAUGUGGGAAUAAAGUGAGGAACGUGUUCCUUUUUGUAUGUACCAUAUGAAUAAGCAUCGGCUAACUCCGUUCCAACAGCCGCGGUAAUACUGGGGCUGCGAGCGUUAUCCGGAUUUAUUGGGUUUAAAGGGUGGGUAGGUGGUUAAUAAAGUCAGCGGUGAAAGUUUGGGGCUCAACCAUAAAAUUGCCGUUGAAACUGGUUGACUUGAGUAUACUUGAGGUAGGCGGAAUGCGUGGUGUAGCGGUGAAAUGCAUAGAUAUCACGCAGAACUCCGAUUGCGAAGGCAGCUUACUAAACUAUAACUGACACUGAGGCACGAAAGCGUGGGGAUCGAACAGGAUUAGAUACCCCAGUAGUC